GUAGAAAGUAGAAGGCUUUAUUAAAGGACAGCAGAAAAGACUUCUCCCUGGAGGAAGAAGGGGACCGGAAAGCGGAAAUUCUUGAUAAGUGGAUAUGUUUUAUUGUCUAGUAAUCCAUACUUCUUCACUCUAGGUUGUGAGAAAGAGAAUGGUAAAUGAAGUCAGGCAGGAAAACAGUGUGGGUAAUUCUCAUUGAAAAUAGGAUGAGCCCAAAGGAUUUUGGUAGCUGUUGUCCUGGCUGCUGACAGGCUAGGCUGCCAGUGCCUCAGUUUUGCAGUGAUAAUGGCCAUCAGGCUUAAUUCUUAUAUGACUCAAUCAAAACUCUUUCUCACUCUCUGUUUCUCUUUAAUAUCCCCACCAUCAUUAAUAUAAAAGCUGUGUGAAUAUUCAUUUUCAACAUAAACAAAAUCAAGCUAAAUCAUCAUGUAAGAUCCUUUCAGGAUGUCUCCACAUUAAGCCUUGCUUUCUUACCUAAAAAGCUUGUCCUUCUUUAUUUCUUCCUUUGAGAGAAAUCAUUCUUCAGACUAUCCCCUUCUCAUUAUUUAAAGCUCUCAUCAUCGGGCUCAUCACUUUGCUUUCACAGAGACCUGUGAAUGAAAGCUGGCUUUUGGAUAGAAAAUCUUCAGAGCACAUUUCCAGAAUUUUCCAGAAUUUAGGAGACAUUUGAAGAUUCCAAGCAAGGUCACACUGGGGGCCCUCCACUACUCCUAUAUAGAGAGACAUCAUUUCUAUGGCUUCUAGCAGGUAAUUUGUAGAGGAAAUUCAUGAAGAAAACUGUAAGCCCCUGAUAUCUACAGAUUAGGCAUUCAUAGAAUCAACCAUCCUGGGAUUUAAAACAUUCAAAACAUUGAAUCUGUCCUGAAACAUGUAAGGACUGAUUUCUUUUUAUUAUUCCUUAACUAAUAUAGUAUAACAAUUACUUCCAUAACAGUUAUCUUGUAUUGGGCAUUAUAAGUAAUUUGAGAUUAAUUUAAAGUAUAUAGGAGGAGGUACGUAGGUCCUAUGCAAAUAUGACACCACUUUAUUUAAAGGAUUGAGCAUCCAUGGAUUUUGGUAUCCAAGGAGGUCCAGAAACCAAUUCUCCAGAGAUACCAAGUAGAGACAAUAUAGACUAUAGUUCUAAGUAUUAUUGCUAAUUCUCAAUACAGGAUAGUUUAUACACAUAUAAAAGGAAAUUUUUUUUUUUUGAGCUGGAAUUGUGGCUCAGUGGCAGAGCACUUGCCUAGCACGUGUGAGGCACUGGGUUCGAUUCUCAGCAUCACACAUAAUAGAUAAAGGCUUGUUGAUAACAAAAAAAAAUUUUAAAAGGAAAUUUUUUCUUGAGUUUGUAAUCCUAGAGACUGCAAAACUCAGAAGAAGGAUAAUGCACUAAUCAUCAGGGAAAUGCAAAGUCACCAUGAAAUAUCACCUCACCCCAGUAAGCCUGGCUACUAUAAAAAAAUACUAAAAGUAACAAAUGUUGGUGAGUAAGGAUAUGGAAAAAAGGGAAUCCUUGCACAUUGCUGAUGGGAAUGUAAAAGAGUGCAGACAUUAUGGAAAACAUUUUGGAGGUUCCUCAAAUAAUUAAAAAUAGAACAACCAUAUGAUCCAGUAUUCCUACCAGAGGGUGUAUAUCCAAAGGAAAUGAAAUUAGUAUGUCAUAGAAACACUCGUGCUCCCAUGUUCAUUGCAGCAUUAUUUACCAUAGCCAAGAUAUAAAGUCAAUCUAAAUAUCCAUCAUCUAAUAAAUGGGUAAAUAAUACAUACAUAUGCACAAUGAAAUACUAUUCAACCAUAAAAAUUUAAAUCCUCUCACUUGCAACAACAUGGAUGGAACUGGAGAUCAUAUAUUAAAUGAAAUAAUCCGUGCACAGAAAGAUUACUUGCAUGAUCUUACACACAUGGCAUUUUAAAAAGCUGAUCUCAUAAAAUUGAGAAUACAGAGGUGGUCACUAGAAGAUUGGGAGUGGGAAGGGACAGGAAGAUAUUGACUAAUGGGCUCUGAGUUACAGUUAGAUAGGAGCAGAAGUUCUGGUGUGAUUCUAGAUAACAAUAAUGUACUGUAGAUUUCAAAAAGAUAAAAAAAAGGAUUUUAAAAGUUUUCACCAUGAAGAAAUGAUGUAUACUUAAAAGACAAAUAUGAUUAAUAUGUUUUAACCAUUGUGUAAAGCAAACAUAUAUCAAAACAUAACAUGGUACCUCAUUGAUAUAUACAAUUUGCAAGUUUUGUGUAUCAAUUAAUAAAAUAAUAUGCCAGGUAUAGUGGUGCAUGCCUGUAAUCCUAGAAGCUCCGGAGGCAGAGGCAGUAGGAUUGUGACUUCAAAGCCAUCCUCAGCAAAAAGCAAGGUGCUAAAGCAACUCAGUGAAACCCUGUCUCUAAAUAGAAUACAAAACAAGGCGGGGGUGUGACUCAGUGAUUGAGAGCCUCUGAGUUCAAUUCCUAGUACCAAAAAAAAAAAAAUUAUAUAUAUAUAUAUAUAUAUACACACACACACACACACACACACACACACACAUACAUACAUACACACACACUCACACACACACACGUGUGUGUGUGUGUGUGUAUGUAUGUGCCUGUGUAGUCAAAAAAUAGGGAUAAUAAAGAUGAUUAGAUGUUUAGUACUUCAAGACAUGAGCCCAAGUCUUUUGAAUGAAGAAGCAACAAGACCUAUAACUUUGCAUUGCCAACUAAUUAAACCAUCUCAGCCUGGUGGGCAUCCUUAGUCUCCCAAAGACCUGUUAAAAACUAAGAAAGUUAAGAUUUUUCCCCUUCAUUAUGAUCCACCCUGACCUCAUUUUUAGAUCAUUUCAACUUUUUCUUCUCAGUUACAAUCUUUCCUCCAAAUCUGGAUCCUAAAAGGAUUUGUAAAUGCCACUGUCCAGCCUCAACAUCUAGAGGUAAAGGAAAUAUUGUAAGGAAAUGCUGAUUUUUUUCCAUCUUCUUAUUUGUCAGAUUUUGUCAGCUUUUGUUGUUGUUAUUAUUAUUACUGAAUUUCUCUUUUUAUAUCUAGUGAAUCCAAGCAGAUAUUUGUCAGACUUUGAAGGAGACUCUGGUUUAGAUCAUAUGGCCCCUUAUCAGCCAUGAAAUUUAAGAGGGAUUAGAUUUAUCUAGACUUUCUCAGUUCUCCUUGUAAGUAUAUAUCUGUGUGUGAUGGAGAGAUCAGAAGAGGGAAAAGGUCAUAGUAACUCACAUCAUUUGGGGAGUUCUAGGGUGUAUCUCAGCUCAUGGCCUUGUUUUCCUCCCCCUAGUUCUGGCCUCUGUGGAUUCUACUUCCCCUGGCAAACAAACCCCAAGGAGGACUUAACCAUUUCUUGAAUUACUAAAUCAUGGCCCGGGUAAGUUACUGCUUAUUUCUCUUUCUGGAAAUAUUAUAAUGUUCAGAUCCUGUGAACAUUUCUUUUCUGAAACUUCCUGCCUAUCAAAGCUACAUCCAGGAACUUUCUCCUAGUUCUAAAUUCAGUGAGGGAUGAAGCUAAAUAUCACAAUGCUAUGAAACCUCUUUUCCCAAUCAUUGUGUAUUCAUCGAACAAAUCCUUUAGUAUCUCCUAUAUGUGUCAAGUCUUCUGCUAAAAGCUGUGAUGACACAGAAAUGAAGUUGCUCACAGGAGAUAUUUUACCAUCCCUUCUGAGUUGAUGAGAGAAGAUAGGUCCAUUUAACCACUUGUAGGAAAAUUAUGAACUUUUCUAUUCUUGAGUUUUCCAAGUAUAUAAGAUUUGCUGUUGUUUGGCUUCAUCCUCAGUAUGUGGGGAGGCACACUAGGGGCUGGGGUUGUGGCUCAGUGGUAAAGUGCUUGCCUAGUAUGCACGAGACACUGGGUUCAAUUCUCAGUACCAUAUUAAAAAAAUAAAGAUAUUGUGUCCACUUACAACUAAAAAAUAAAUAUUAAAAAAAAGAGUUACACACUAAUGGCCAGGCACAGUGGCACACACCUGUAAUGCCAGCAGCAAGGGAGGCUGAGACAGGAGGAUCGUGAGUUCAAGCCUAGCCUCAGCAACUUAGCAAGGAUUCCACAACUUAGUGAGACCCUGUGUUAAAAUAAAAAAUAAGGAUUGGGGAUGUGGUUCAAGUGGUAGUGCGCUAACCUGGCAUGUGCGGGGUGCUGAGUUCGAUCCUCAACACCACAUACAAAUAAAUGAAAGAUAUUGUGUCCACCUCAAACUAAAAAAAUAAAUAUUUAAAAAAUAAAUAAAAAAUAAAAAGGGGCUGGGUAUGUGACUCAGCUAUAAAGGGCCCCUGCAUUAAAUCCCCAGUACCCAAUCUGUCAUGCCAGGCAUGGUGUAAUCCCAGUAGCUCAGGAGACUAAGGCAGGAGGCAGGAGAAUCACAAGUUCAAAGGCAGCCUCAGCAAUUUAGCAAGGCCCUAAGUAACUUAGCAGGACACUGUCAAAAUAAAAAAUAAAAUAAAAUAAAGCUGGGGAUGUGGUGCCAUGGUUAAAUGCCCCACGAGAGUUCAAUCCCUGGUUAAAAAAGAAAAAAAAUUGUAACAAGGAAAAAUUAUUAAUAAUUGUCAUAUAUUCUGAUUUUGAAUAUAAACAGAAGAAAUUCUUUAACUGGACUCAGAACCUUUUCUUUUUCUUUUUUGUACUGGAGAUUGAUCCCAGGGUGCUUAACCACUGAGCUACAUUUCCAGCCAUUUUUAUUUUUAUUUAUUUAUUUUGGUACCAGGGAUUGAACUCAGGGGCUCUCAACCACUGAGCCACAUCCCCAGCCCUAUCUCACUAAGUUGCUUAGAACCUUGCUUUUUUGAAGCUGGCUUUGAACUCUCAAUCUUUGUGCUUUAGCCUCCUGAGCCACUGGGAUUACAGGCAUGCGCCACUGCACCCAGCCUUCCAGUCCUUUUUUUAUUUCACUUUGAGACAGGGUCUUGUUCAAUUGCUUAGGACCUCGCUAAGUUGCUGAAUCUGGCUUUGAACUCAUGAUCUCCUGCUCAGCCUUCCAAGCCUCUGGGAUUACAGAUCCCUUUUCUAAGGCAGAGAAUAGAGAGGUUUUUUGUUUUUGUUUUUAAUCUGUUAUUUAAGGAGGGGGGAUAGAAGAACUCAUGUUUUUGAGAACUUAUGAUGCAGACAUAUAACAGGCAGUUGCUUUAUUUAUAUACAGUAUAACAUUUACUUGAGGCUCGGGUAUCAUUUAAUAGGAAACCCCCCACACACACCUGUUUAGAUUAUUGAGGUAAACCAGUGUGUAAGAGGCUUAUCUGUAGCAACAGGAUUUUUUAAAAAUACCUUUAUUUAUUUGUUUAUGUGCUCUACCAAUGAGCUAUAACCCCAGCCUUGUAGUAGCAACAGGAUUCUUCAGGACCAGGUAGGUACUCCGCUUCAGGCACACUCAUUUCCGAACUGGGUAUAUUAACAACUUUCCAGCUUUCAAGGCUCUUUCCUCGCCAUCAUAUUCCAUUUCCUGCAAGAUUUUUUUUUCGUAUCAAUUAUAUGACAAACAAUGUUUGUCAUUUCAGGGAUCAGUGAUGUUCAGUGAUGUAUCCAUAGUCUUCUCUCAGGAAGAGUGGGAAUACUUGGACUUGGAACAGAGGGACUUAUACAAAGAUGUGAUGCUGGAAAACUAUAGCAACUUUAUCUCACUAGGUAAGGUUCUCUACCUUUAUA
rnacentral:lncRNA from 1 species